UCAUGCGCAAGAGGGAUACCCCCCAGACCAACAGCUAAGGUCCCAAAGUCCAUGCUAAGUGGUAAAGGAUGUGGCAGCGCUUAGACAACCAGGAAGUUGGCUUAGAAGCAGCCAUCUUUUAGAGAAAGCGUAAUAGCUCACUGGUCAAGCGUUCCUGCGCCGAAAAUGAACGGGGCUAAGGUGUUUACCGAAGCUAUGGACUUGUAGAUUUCUAUGAGUGGUAGGGGAGCGUUCCACGGUAGUGAGAAGCAUCAGCGGCAAGCAGGUGUGGACGAAGUGGAAGUGAGAAUGUCGGCUUGAGUAGCGCAAACAUUGGUGAGAAUCC
rnacentral:rRNA from 1 species